GAUAAUUUGGAAUGGUAAUAUCAACAUAUAUAAAUCAAACAAAAAGCGGUGGUAGAUUAACUACAAAAAUUACAUCAGCAAGUUCAAAAGCG